AUUAUCGGUAUGUAACAUGCCAAAUAUUUCCUCUUGUUUCCCACGUGAUGUGGCUUUCAGGCAUAUUUAGGUCCAUGCAGUUGAAUACAAAUUUUAAUUAAAUAAUUGUGCAGUAGAACCCAGCACAAAACUAUUUGCGCCAAACGUUGAUUCUGUAGUGAUCUUGUAAUGGUUUUACUUCGUCGAAAAUAGAAAUAUUGGAGGACAUUUGCAUUAGUUUACUCUACAAAAUUAACGCGUUAACGAAGGAAAAGACAAAUUAUUAUGUUGUAUUGACAAAUCUGUUUGUGACUUACCGCAGUUAGUGUGCACAGUCAUUAAUGAGAAAUGUUACAGGUUACGGCGGCAUCAGAAAACGCUAAUCUAAAAUUCACACGCUGCAAGGACAGCAGGGGCGUAUGCGUGAUUAAAAAAAAGAGAUCUGCUGUAUUAAGAAACAAAAAUGCUUCACUGAUGUGAGAUCCAGUGAUUUGAAGUCUACUGGUCCUGAUUUUUGUAUAAUCACUUGUUUCACUACUGGAGAGGAAGGGUGCUUUAUAAUUCUACUGCUGUGUCAUCCAAACAAGAAACAGCCAGGGAAAAAGCACCACAGGCACAAAGAUGAGCGGGUGCCAGUGCCAUAGAGACUCACCACUUGUUUGAGUUCUGCCAUCGCCACAGGUGGCGCUGAGGAUGAAGAUUUCGACUUUGCCUUGGCCAAUUACUGCAGAGUACAAUUUGCCAAUGACCAUAUGACAACGGACAGAAGCCUACUUGGAAGAUAGAAGCACAGCUUUGGCCCACUCAGCUAUAGACCAUCGUCCGGGGCUGACUUAGACAGGAAAUGUCAUUUGUUGUAAAUUGCAUUUCCUAUGUACUGCAAAGUUUACCUACAGUUAUUUGCACUUAGCCAUUGAGAGUCAUUUUGUGUUGUAUUACAGGCAGUGUUGCAGACUUAAUUAUUCAACAAGUCACAAAGAUAAAUAAAGUUAUUAACUCAUUUGUUUCACUUUGUUA